rnacentral:rRNA from 1 species
AGUAAAUAGAUACCCAGGUAGUCCACGCCGUAAACGAUGAGUACUAGGUGUAGGAGGUAUCGACUCCUUCUGUGCCGCAGUUAAACACAAUAAGUACUCCGCCUGGGAAGUACGGUCGCAAGAUUAAAAACUCAAAGGAAUUGACGGGGGCCCGCACAAGCAGCGGAGCAUGUGGUUUAAUUCGAAGCAACGCGAAGAACCUUACCUAGACUUGACAUCUCCUGAAUAGUGUAGAGAUACAUGAAGCCCUUCGGGGCAGGAAGACAGGUGGUGCAUGGUUGUCGUCAGCUCGUGUCGUGAGAUGUU